AGUAACGCGUGGAUAACCUGCCUCACACUGGGGGAUAACAGUUAGAAAUGACUGCUAAUACCGCAUAAGCGCACGCUACCGCAUGGUAGCGUGUGAAAAACUCCGGUGGUGUGAGAUGGAUCCGCGUCUGAUUAGCCAGUUGGCGGGGUAACGGCCCACCAAAGCGACGAUCAGUAGCCGACCUGAGAGGGUGACCGGCCACAUUGAGACUGAGACACGGCCCAA
rnacentral:rRNA from 1 species